rnacentral:rRNA from 1 species
GACGAACCGUGCGAACGUUGUUCGGAAUCACUGGGCUUAAAGGGCGCGUAGGCGGUCUAGCCAGUCCGGGGUGAAAGCCUCCAGCUCAACUGGAGAAGUGCCUUGGAUACUGCUGGACUUGAGCGAGGUAGGGGUGAUGGGAACUUCCGGUGGAGCGGUGAAAUGCGUUGAUAUCGGAAGGAACGCCGGUGGCGAAAGCGCAUCACUGGACCUCUUCUGACGCUGAGGCGCGAAAGCCAGGGGAGCAAACGGG